UUUUGUUGUUAGUUUUAUUAUUUGGAUUCAUUUAAGUGCUGUUGUGUUUCAUGGAUGGGGCUUUUUUUGCUGUAUGCUCGUUAUAUACACAGUACACACACAUACACUUGCACACGUGUGUGGAAUGUUGUCAGUUGGGAUUUUUUUCUGUUUUUCUUUUUUUUACUGUUUUGUGUUUUUGUUCACAUAUCUCUUAGGUCGCAUAAAGUGAUUUUUGUUUUCGAACCAUCAUCCAUCCAACGACUAACGUGUAGAUAUGAUGGUGGGAUCAUACUGCGUUGUUGUGUUGAUAUAUAAAAUAUAGAGAAUAUUUUUGUUGUUGGUUUUUUUUUUUCUGUAUUUGUUUAUUUCAAUGGGAAAAACUAACAUUUAUAUGUUUGAAUGUAUGGUUGGUCGGUCGGGCGUUCGUUUGUGUUGUUAUUGUUGUCGUUGUUGUCGUUGAUGUCGUUGUUUGGUGUAUAUCUCUUUAUAUAUCUGACUGACUUGAGUAAGUGUUGAGGGUGAUGGUGGUGGACGAUGAUAAUGAUGAUGAAGUAGACAGUCAGCUCAACUACAAACGACUCUACAAUGCUUGAUAGCACAAGAUAGCUGGCAAAUAGACCGACUUGACCGCUCAUGCUAUGAAUAUAUUGCCUGAUUGUAUGUCGUUGAAUAUAAAGGCAACUUUGGCUCCGUGCAUGCUUUCUGACUGAACGACGAUUGUAAGCAUGACGCAGCAGUAAGUAAAUUUCGCCUUGAAACAUUUUUAAACUUAUUAUUUACGUUAAUUCAUUUCGAAUGGCUUGGUUAUUAUAUUGUAGAAGAAGAUGAAGUGUUUAUUGGAAAUCUUGCAGAGAAAAGUUUUGCACGAAAAAAGCAGAAGGAAGACUCUCUCGCACUUAAUCUCUUAAAUUUUGAACAAAAUUUGGCAGAAAUUUUUCAGUUUCGACUUGUUCGAUUUUAUAAAAAAGCUUUAAAUUGAAAUGAUCUCCGCCGAGGUAUACACAUGUGAAAUAAUUAACUGAAGCUACAUCUUUUGGUAACCAACGUUUGUUGCUUGAGUUUGCAGACAUUAUUUAAGGAAGCGUUGUGCGCCGGUUGUUUCGUAGUCAAUGGAUAAUGGAGAACUAAAAUCGUGAUGAGAUUUUUAUUGGUGUCACACAUUGCAUAUGUAUGCACAUAUGUAAGCACAUAUGACCGCUGUUUCUCAAAUAAUUUAAUACAACGACCUAUCUUUCCUACCUUAUGCUGGUUGAUAAAUCCUUUUGCGUGUUGCUAAUGUCGAUGUUCUUAUUAGUUGUUUAAGAUUUUUAUGUUUUCUUUCCAUUUGAUUUACUAUUAUUAUUAUUAUUAUUAUUAUUACUUUUUAUUUAUUUAUGUUUUUUUUCGCACAUUUAUGAGCGCCAUUGAGAAUUUAGUAAAAUGCGUUUUGAGAAAUUUAUUUUACAAGAGAGUGUUCAGCACUAGGUUGCUGACACUGUGCAAUUAAUUGAAUCUAAAAAUAGUUGCAGCUGUAAUAGUCCGGUUUACUCCUAACGCUAUUCUUUAUUACCUAAGAGAUGUCGUGAUGUCGUGAUAUUUUGUGUAUGAUUUUCAAGUAAGCUUUCAAAAUGUUCUCAACCGUAUACGCGCCCAUACUACACAUUAUGUGCUGUAAUCGCAUGAACUGUCGCAUACGUAUAGAUGCUUUAAUGAAUGAAUACUCCUUUCCUGUAGUCGCUAAAUUCGUUGCUAUCAUUGUAGUUCCUUCUGUCAUUACUUAAGGCUCUGAUGCGAAUAUUUUCUGUAAAUGUGUACAUUGCGCACAUUGUGCCUAUAAAUAGAUACAGGGUAUUCAUAAAGUCCGUGCGCAAAUUGGAAAAUAUCUUUGUAGCAUUCAAAAGCUUCAGUGGUUAAUGAAUGAAUAGUUAAGGAAUCUUCUAUAAACAAAAUUUCGAAAAUUUAGAAAGACUUCUCCUUUUCAGUGCAUAAGAUCCUUGGCUUCAUUUGAAGACGAACUAAUCAUGUAGAAAAAAGAGCAAUUUCUUUUAGAACCAAGGCCAAGAUCCAAGGCCAUGUUAAAGUUCUCUUACAGAACUUUUUUAAAAUGAUAUUUUUAAAGAAAAAGUAUCUUUAAUAGAAGCAAGCACUUGUUGUUUAGAGUGCGUCACCAAGAUUAGCGGUGUAACCCGAAAAGGUUUUAUGGCAAUUCUUCUGUGGAACUGCGUAAAAGCUACACUUCUCUUUGUCACCUUGAGAGAACAGGAGAUUGCGCACUUGAAACCAUUUAAAAUCCAAACAACCCUCUUGAAGUCCAAGACUUCUUACAAGCAAAAGGUAAUCUUAUAAUAGAACCGAAUUUCUACAGACACGUCAUAAAGGGACUUCGGUUUCAGAAUGGCGCAAAAUUCUGACUUUUUUUAAAGAAAAAGCAAUUUUUAGUUAGUUUUAUCGGCAUGGCCAUAUUGUUCUGAUAUUAAGUUUCGAACUUUGCGGAUAUAAUGGAUAAAAAACAAUUCAAUGUAAUUUGCAAAGCCAACGACAAACUAUCAUCAUUCAAGGUCUUUUUACAAUAAAUCAAGAAAGACGUUAUCAAAAUGAUCAAUCAUAGCAUUUAAGGAGAGCAAUGUUGAGCAAUUCAUAUUUAUUUUUUUUUUGCUUUUUUUCUCGCAGACCAAUUUCAAAAUUUCCGCUGGUUUGUAAAGAAAGUUUCUUUAAACACUUUCCGGCCAAUGCGAUGGAGGAAUUCCCGCAUCAUACUUUGCCUUAAAUUCGAACAAUCAUUAUUAGGGGCAAUAAAAAUUGUCACAGUCGGUCUUUUUAUAUGUGCUCCACUAUGAGCAAGCACUUCUUUCAAUUCUACUAUCUAACUUAUCUUCGCUUUAUUUCGUCAAAGAUUUGAAAGUUAAGAGAAAUAAUAUUUAAAGCCUCCUCUGACAUUAAUGUUAACUGAUUUGUCAAUAGUCUUGAAGGAUAGUAUUAAGCCGGGUGGAUGAAGGACAAGUAGAAAAUUGAAAAAAAAAAAAAUUUAGGUUUAUUUCUGUUGUUCGUCUUACAUCCAAUAUAAGUUGUUGAACUUAUAAUUGUUUCCAAUUGUAACGCAAGUGUGUGAACACCCUUUAUGUGGACGUGUAUUCUAAGCUCUAAAGUCAGGAAGGGAUUGAAGUGUUUCGUUUUGCUGUGUUUUGUGCAGAAAUUUUCAGAUUUUUCGCUAAACUGUUGCUGCUUUACGCUCUCGAUUAAUGCUUAUGAUGUUGACACCACAACACCACGCAUACAUCGUUAUGCAUGAUUUAUUAUUAUUGUUUUUGUUGUUGUUGUGAUAUUCUCUUGAGAUGAAUUGCAAUAAAUCAUACGUUAAAACAAUACAUUUACGACCGCUUACUAGCUAGCUACCACCUUGUGGUUAAUGUAAGCCACUUAUUGAGUUGUUAAGUAGCAGACCGUGUGUUGUAUGUCAUCGAAUGUUUACAGCAAUACUUCUUUUGUUUUUACAUUAUUGAUGAUUAGUUUGCAUUGGAUUUGAUUCAGACAAGGCAAAGUUAACUUUAUUGUUAUUAUUAUUAUUGCUGCAAUUAUUGCUAAUUAUAAGUGUUAAAGUGUAUAAACUGUAAAGCAAUAAAUAUCGAUCAGGUAAGCAACAACUAAUUCAAAGAGCAUAGAAAUUGAAAUUUAAAUGGGUCAGAUAAAGAUUUUUAUUUUGUCAUCUAUGCUGUGUUAUACCGCAGCAAGGAAAAGAUGUAACUAAUUAAAUAAUAAAGGUCAGAUUAGUCAAGUGACCUAUCCUUUUAUAUGAGCAAAGACCAUCGUUUAGGGUCUACUAGAUCUACUACUAGACUACUAGAUUUUAUAUCUUUUUCCGUAUUACGUUUUUAAAUCAUAUUCUUUACUCUUUUUCAAUAUGGAGAAGAAGAAGGAAUGUAAAAGAAAUUUAAGGAAAGAAGUGCGAAUUAUUUCGCUGGCAGUGUCAAAAGUCGGCUUUUAAAAAGUUAAAAACCGUAGGAUUUCUAUGCGCUGAAAUAUACAUAAUCUCCAGAUCGAAUAGAAGCCCUUUCAUUUUAAUACCACGUUUGUCCAACUCAUUAGCCGAGCGAUACUUUACUGUUUGCGUUGCUAGAUAUUGGAAUGCCUUACCACUGAGCCUGAAAUCCUUCGAUGAUUCUUUGAAUACGUUUAGAAGAAAAUUGGCGGCACUUCUAUACUCACUAUACAUAUUUUGUUCCUGGUAGGAAGUGAUGAUCUACCGAGUUCAUGAAGCAAGAUGAUUAUAUUGUCACCCAUUUAUCACCCAGCUGGCUCGUAUACUCACUGAUUUUCGAUAAUUUUCAGAGUGGACUUGUUGUUGUGUUUAGUUUCUUUUUGCACAUGAAAUGUAUCUAUGUAAUUAGGUAAUAGGCCUAUAGUUACUUAAUAAAUGAGAAAUAAAAUGAAAUAUAAAAUUCGAAGGAGGAGUAGAGCCGUAAAGAACGAGUGCAACUUCAAAAAGGCCAUAAAGUUUUGCGAGAAGUAUUAGAAAUUUAAACACAAUAGGAAAUUGAAAAGAGAGGAAUUCAAACUUGAAAGAUGCCCGCGUGUAUUUACUAAAUAGUUCUUUUUCUUACAUUGUGGAAGUUCUUCGACCAUGAUAAAAUGAUAACGUGUAAAAAAAGAGAAGUACGAAAAACCUUUGCGACGUUUUGUCAGUAGAAGUUUAUAAAGCGCUUAAAAAGGUUUCUAUAUAGUUUAAGAUAUUGGGAUAUUGAACAGGUUGGCGGUGUGUUCUAAGAGAGGGUUAAACUACAAUUACAGGCUGCUGAACUGAACUGUGGCUUCUUCGUUGCGCUAUUUUUAUAAGUACAACAACUUAUUCCACUGAAGUAUGUACGUAUUAAGGACUUUUGGAGAUUUGAAUAGAGCACGGUUCGCUUCCAAAUUUCGAGAGGCAAUGCGAUUUCCGAAAUGAAAAUAACCAUAAUUUAGACAAGACGAACGAAUAAUAUCAACGAUAAAACUGAAUAUCUAUGAGGGCUUUUUUUUGUGACGGAGGGCAUUAGCAGAAUAUGGUGUCCGGGAAAAGUUACCAAUACGAUCUGAUACAAUUGCGAUGUGAAACGGGCUCAAUAUGCUAAAAAUUAUGAUGUAUCGAUUUCUCCGAUUACAAAGUUCGGUCAGAAUAUCUUAACAGUGCGAGACAAACAUUAUUCUUUCUGAUGAAUAUUGGCUAUAAUCGAUGGUUUAUUGCCUGCAUGAGUAGGGCUUCUUGACAUACCACAAAAGUGAAUACCUGUGUAGACAGUCCCACGGAAUUCAUAUUCUGCCUAUAAGCUAAGAGAUGUAUUGGCAGUGCGGUGCUCUUUUGCUCGACCAGCAACUCAGUCGGUAACCGGAAAGGGUUAUAUAGAAAGAGUGGGGCGAUUUAAAAAUCAAGCCUUAAAAAAAAUCAUCACACUUUUCACAUGUGAUCCUAAUAAUCUAGCUUUAGCCCAACUGAACUGUUCAGAAAGUGAAAAUUCCAGAAUUAUUUAACAGUCAGUUUCAUGAAAAUACGACAGAAACUUAAAAAAAUUUUCUUUUAGAAAUUUUGAUCGUUUGACCAUAACCCAAAUAUCUAUCGAUUAGGAAACAUUCUUUGCCCCUUUCGCAGAUUAAUGUUGAUUGACAAAAGCAUUUUGAAAUUUUCAAAAUUUUUUGAAUCUGCAUCAGCUCGAGAGCUACGCAUAAAGGCAUGGUACAAAAUACGCCAUUCUAACAAGAAAAAUUAUCGGAAACGAUUGCUUAGUCUCGAAUGCUUUAAUUACCGUUAAGAAUUACUGUUAUUCUCUUAUAAUACUUCAAUUCCUUUUGCGAGAAUAUUAAUUCUCGUACUUUAUUAUAGUAAACAUAUUCCGUUUGCACAUGUAUGUGUAAAUCACUUUUCCUUUUUCUCUAUCUACACUUGAAAAUUCAAAGCCAUAAUUUGAUUAAGAAUACAUUUACACUUCUGCUGUUUAUUACAUUUACAAUUACAAUUUACAUGUACAACGAUCCUCUAUUCCAAUGUCACAUUAACCCACAAAUUGUCAAACAAUAGCAAAUGUGUUUAGUGUUUAUGUCAAGUGUUUCCCAAUGAGGCUUAGCGGAAUAAUCAUUAGUCAUACGGAAUUGAUAGUAAAACAAAGACUUUUAUAAGAGACCUAUACGAACGAAAAACAGAAAAAAAAAAAAAAACAAUAACAAAACAAAAUAAAGUUGCAAACCACUAUAGCCAUUCACUUACUAUGCACACGUAACACACUCUAGGCAGCAUGAGACAACAAAGUAUAUAAGCUCACAGCUAACAGCAAAAACAAUGCUGCAUAGCAUACAAUGUAACAUCAAUAGCGCGCAGCAGCCAUACCUUCUAUACAUUCAUCUUUAAUUUUGUAUCGUGUUGUCGUGACGGUUACAUUCGAGCAAAAAGCACAAUAAAGGUCUCUUAAGUUCAUUUCGAAUCUUAAUUUGGCUUUAAAGAGAUCAGAUGAGCCUUUCCAUGAAAAUGACGUCUAGCGGAAAGCUUUGCUGUUCUGUACACCUUCAGCUUAUGAAUAUUCCGUAUGUGAGCGUUUGACGCGUUUACCUUGCGCACGCACGUAGAUAAAGCCUAACGAAAUGCGGGAACGUCUUAUUACGCUGUGCAAUCCAUCCCUAAAGCAAUCUCCAUGGACCACGGUGCAAUAACACUGUCAUUUCGACUGAAAACAAGACUGCUUGUUCGAGAAUUGUACUCUUUUCGUAAUAGGCAUUUAAAAAUCAUGAAAAUAAUGUUUCAUUCCAGUCGGAAACAAAAAGGCUGUCCGAUCGCCUUUUUAUCUCUUGCACAAGUUCCUUCAUCUUCUUCGAUUUUCCCUGUGUUCGAAAAGUGGUUCUUAACGAAAAAAUAAUAGAAGCGAAAAGAACUCCUGAGCCUUUUGCACCCUACCAUAUAUAAACGUCUCAGUUAUAUUAGUAUCUAACAACAAUUCAAGUCAUAUGUGCCUUAAAAAAAAAAAAAAAAAAUCGCACUAACAUAUGGCCCACCUUGUAUUCUAAAACGACCCUCAAUGAAACCAAAUACUAAGAGUAGUUAACUAAUUCACUGCUACCUAGAAGGUUAAGAGUGAAUGAAAGAGAAAAGAAAAAGAAAAGAAUGCUCUUCCUCAUCAUCGUUAUUGUGGCCUAAAACAACAACGUUUUCAUCCCGAACAGAAUAAGACAUAGAGUCUUUCCUACGGCUUAUGAAGAAUGGCUUAGUAGCAACGUAUUAAUAAUGAAUGGUGGUGGUGUCUUAAAAUGAGUGUAGUUUUGUGCUAAGCAAGUAAGAAAGAGCAAAACCACUACAAAUUCCAUCGAUAGGUGUUCUCAAUGUUAAGAUCGUUUCCGCUUUGUGUUUUAUUUUUUUUAGCAUUUUGUUCCUGGUCGCUAAGAAAUUACCGAAAACGUAACACAGGAACAACAACAGUAUGAUCGCUUACUCAUAUUACAUACCCAUACUUAAUCGUAUGCAUUGUUUAUCUAUAUAUAUAUACAUGUGUGUUUUAUUUAAGGUAUUUAAUGAAUAAACUGAUCUUACGAAGGCUCUCAGUGUUUUCGUUCGAUUGACGAACGUUUAGAUUACCUUGAAAUUUAUAUAAAGCAUGAGAGAGGUUCAAUAGCUUUACCAUAGUGCAUACGAACACAAAUGCAUUUAUAAGGAAAACGUAAUUGUUUAAUCAACAAUUCGCCCAAAGACAUUAAGCAACAUGUUUAGAUUUUUAGGUGUUUUUUUUUUUUCUUUUUUGCUGUUU